rnacentral:rRNA from 1 species
GAUGAACGCUGGCGGCGUGCCUAAUACAUGCAAGUCGAGCGAACGGACGAGAAGCUUGCUUUUCUGAUGUUAGCGGCGGACGGGUGAGUAACACGUGGAUAACCUACCUAUAGGACUGGGAUAACUUCGGGAAACCGGAGCUAAUACCGGAUAAUAUUUUGAACCGCAUGGUUCAAAAGUGAAAGACGGUCUUGCUGUCACUUAUAGAUGGAUCCGCGCUGCAUUAGCUAGUUGGUAAGGUAACGGCUUACCAAGGCAACGAUGCAUAGCCGACCUGAGAGGGUGAUCGGCCACACUGGAACGGAGACACGGUCCAGACUCCUACGGGAGGCAGCAGUAGGGAAUCUUCCGCAAUGGGCGAAAGCCUGACGGAGCAACGCCGCGUGAGUGAUGAAGGUCUUCGGAUCGUAAAACUCUGUUAUUAGGGAAGAACAUAUGUGUAAGUAACUGUGCACAUCGUGACGGUACCUAAUCAGAAAGCCACGGCUAACUACGUG